CAAGUCACCCAGUGCAAUGGUGUGGCUCACUGUUUAAUAGUUUUUGGACAACAACAGUGGUCUACAAUACAGAGGAAUAAGGUAUAUCAGGCUUUGGAUUUAGGCACAAUAAUUGUUGGCUUAGAUCUGCACAUGCCAGCCUCAUCCUUUAAGUAUUAAACUCUGAGCACUGGACAAAACUAUGCUAUGUCCAUUUGCCCAAACUAACAUCAUGAUGGAAAUGUAUCAUAGUUGUAGAUACUUUUAAAUUAUUUGCAAAAUGAAAACAUGUCAAAUUUUAAAAUAGCAAUCUUUUUUAUAAGAUUUUAUUUAGAUUUGUUUAUAUUUACAAUAUACACUUCCCACAUCAACAAAAGCAAGACCCACAAUCUUAAUGACAAAGCAAAACGAGACAGGAAAACAAAACAAAACAAAACAAAACAAAACAAAACAAAACAAAACAAAACAAAACAAAACAAAACAAAACAAAAACAAACACAUUUACCCCACACAUCAAACAAACAAGCUCAACCUCCAUAUCUUCAUAUCUGAUCAACUUAAAUGAAAUAUGUUAAAUAUAAAUAAUCACACACAUACAUCAUAUAUAACUCAAAAACCAUUCCUCUCUAUCAAGUACCCUGAUAUUUUAUCCUUCACCAACUGAAACUUCAACAACAAUAUGACCCUCUGGAUUCUGACCACUCAACUGGCAUUAUUGUCCACCUGUCCUACACUCUAAAAAAUAAAUACCACAAGAAAAACAAACAAACAAAGACCAAUAAACAAACAAAAACCAAAGAACCUCAAACUAGGUUGAAGUAUAAAGGCCACAUUGUUUAUUUAUUCAAUGCUUGUAAUACUUCUCCCCGUUUGAUUUCAAAUUGAGUUGAUUUGUUCUUUUCGGUGACUAUUGUAUUUUCUAUUUAAAAUACAAUCUUAAUAUCUUCAGGUGUGGCAAAACAGGAAAGCAUAAAUCUACAAAACUCUCUAAUUGUUUCCCAGUUAAUAGUGGUGCAAAUUCCCCAACAGCUCAUGUCACCCAAACAUAAAGUGCCAAACUUUAUGGACACUAUAUAAGAUGUUCAAUAAUUAGGAAAACUCUAACAAGCAUGGGGAAACAUUUUUGCCUUGUUUGUAUCAUUAGCAUUACAACAGUAACUGGGUUACAGUCAAUAAUGACUGUUACAUGAAAAUAACCAGUUAAACUUUACUGUAGGUGAAUGACAGGACAGUUAGUUUGAACUGCUUAGUCAUGAACAUCUUCUGAUACAUACAAAAUAAAAUGUAAUUAUAAUUCAGGUGGUUUAGGUGGACAUAACACCAUUGUUAUUUUACAAUUAUAGCCUGAGUGAUUCAACGUUAUUAGCAAUAAUGAAGAAAGCAGCAUGUGUCUGCAUCCGUCCUUUAGAAAAGACUUGCAUCAGAGCGUAAGUGAGCCUUUAGAGACGUGUUUAAGUGUAUCAGUGGAAACAUAAUGCUGCUACUUCCUGUGUCUCUCAUAACCACAAAGCAUAGACUCAAGAACAAUGCUGUGAUUUGUGCAGCAGUACAACCAGUCAGGUUGAGCUGCACAUUUUCCAUCCGCAUUUCUCUCUUCAAUACGUGCUCCUCUUUUCUGCCUCUUCACUGUGUCUGGUCUCUUCCCCCUCUUUCUUUCUUUCCUCCCCUCCCUCAUUUGUGAUCUUGUGCUCAGAGAACAUAAAUCCCUCUCUUAAAUAGAUUCCAAGAAUCAAUCAGCACCUCUGCCAGGCAAGGAGCAAUCUGGAAACUAUUCAAGCCAGGUAAUGGCACUCCAAAGCUGAACAGAGGGAACACGUUGCAUAGUCACACACUACAACAGGUGGGGGACUACUGCCAGUGAGCAGGACUGACUCUCACAGCUGAAAUAGAGUCUGAAGCCGUGACACUGACAGAUUGCAGAGGAUAUUACCUAAACCAUCCUGGCCAUACAGGAUCAAGGUAUUAUGGUCUAUGAAAGUGCAGCUCAAUCAUAAAGAGGUUUUACAUAAGGACGUAAGGUAGCAUGACUUACCAUUACCUUUUUGCUGUGUGAAGUAACAUGGUAGUAUCACUACUUUGCUGAUUUAUUGUGAUGUUUUUAUAAAAAAAAAUAUAGAUUUUGGUGAGCUGUUGUAAUUAUUUACAAGUCUAACUAUUGCAAAUGAUGUUAAAAUUCCUUGUGCAGGUAAAAGUCAGUAGGCCUGCAUGUUAAAACAAGACCAAGAGUCGAAGCCACACUAGCAGCUCUGAGAGGCUGUACUUAGUCCCAGCAGAGCUUUUGGCUAAAUGUUAACAUCAGCAUGCUAACAUGCUCAUAAUGGCAAUGCUAACAUGCUGAUGUUCAGCAGGUAUAAUGCUUAUUAUGCUCACCACAGUACUUUAAGACUGAGGAGGUAGCUCCAGGUCUGAAAAGUCAAGCCAAUGCGGAUGCGCCUUAAACCUGCAUUCUGUCUAAUGACCAGCAGGGGUGUGGCUCAAAAAAGACAUCCGAUUGUAUAGAAGUCACUAAGACAAUGACCCUAUUUCUCACUUGAUUUAUUACAUCAGUAAACAUUUUCCUAACGUGUUUAUGGUCUUAACUGCUAGUUGCAAGUCUUCUUCAAUACAGCAUGAUGUUCAUUUAGUAAAUUAUGGUCCAAUUUAAAGUAAAAUAGACAAUAAAGUAGGGUGUGCUUUAGGGCGUGUCUACCUUGUGAUUGACGAGUUGCUACCAUGGUGACAAAGUUGGUUACGUACAUUAGGUAUCGUAACCCCAGAUUAGAAUAGGUGUACAGAUGUAGCUGUUGCUAUUUUAAACUAUUACAGUAUGUUUUCAGUUCAUGAAAGUUUGUUGUAACAUUUUGGUUGCCUUAAAAGCGUUUGGUUGCACUAAAAGACCCUCUGAGUAGUCGGCUGUUCAGUUUUUUCCGUCUGCAGCUGGGGCCCUCGUCAGAGCCGUCUAGUCCAGACAGGAACCAAGGUCAAGGAAACAUCCUCCGGUAACGCCUUGCUAUCACAUACUGAUAUGACAGUGUUAGUCUGCAAAAAAUGUCUGAAGAUGAUACACAUACAGACAUACACAAGACAGAUGCAAUAUCUACUACUGUACAUGUGUUUGUGUAUGACUACAUGUGGAAGAAAAUACAUCCUUGGAGUCCAUUUUGAAAGCAGCUGGCAGCUGCUCAUGGCCUGUUUGCUUAUGUAAGCCUGUACUGUAAAACACAGAACAAGAGCAAACUGGCUGCGCGGGACAAAGGCCCUCCCUUCACUGCUGCACUGUCAGACGUGUGUUUUUCUGUCUGCCUGCAUCUAUUAGACACAAAAUGAAAGAGAGAGAGAGAGAAAAGAGAAACAGAGAAAGAAAGAGAGUCCUCAGGAGAUUAAGGGACUGUAGGGUCAUACUGUACAAGACUGGUGUGCUGCAAGAUGAGGGGAAAGACGAGCCCUGCUGCAUCCUGGCAGCCCACCUGCUGCUCUCUGGCCCUCAUCUACUGCUGCUCUGUCAUACAGCACACUUCCUUGCACAAGACUCCACGGGUUGCACAAGGAGAGAGCAAGAGACAGGGGAAGAUGGGAAAGAAAAUAGCAUUACAAGCAGAGAGAAUCAGAGUGAGAAUACAAAUGAGAGAAAAUCUGGAGAAGUUUGACGUAGAUCUCCGAGCUUAGCUGUUUAAACUCUGGUCCAACUGCAGCUGCUGCCUGGAGAGCUCGUAUCUGUCUUUUUUUGCUUUUCUGCAACUACAUCCAUACCUCCUUCCACUACUGAGCUGUUUUGUUCUUGAACUAUGUUUCCAUAGCAGUUUAGUUGAGCUCACUUUUUACUUUUAUGUGUAAAUAUACUCACUGUAUGAGGAAAAGUGGAAAGAAUUUACCACAGUAUCAGUGACUGCACAUGACAGUCAUUUCAGAGAUCAAGUGAUCACAAAAGCCUGUGUUUUAUUUCCCUGAAUUGUUGAGUCUGAGAUACAAUAAAGCCUGGCUGACCUAGC